UGAGGAAUAUUGGUCAAUGGUCGCAAGACUGAACCAGCCAAGUAGCGUGAGGGAAGACUGCCCUAUGGGUUGUAAACCUCUUUUAUCUGGGAAUAAAGUGAGCCACGAGUGGCUUAUUGCAGGUACCAGAAGAAUAAGGACCGGCUAAUUCAGUGCCAGCAGCCGCGGUAAUACGGAAGGUCCAGGCGUUAUCCGGAUGUAUUGGGUUUAAAGGGAGCGUAGGCCGCUUGGUAAGCGGGCAGUGAAAUGCAGAGGCGCAACCUCUGACUUGCUGUUCGAACUGCCAGGCUUGAGUACGCACGAGGUAGGCGGAAUUUGUGGUGUAGCGGUGAAAUGCUUAGAUAUCACAAAGAACUCCAAUUGCGAAGGCAGCUUACCGGAGCGCAACUGACGCUGAAGCUCGAAAGUGCGGGUAUCGAACA
rnacentral:rRNA from 1 species